GCUUGUCUCAAAGAUUAAGCCAUGCAUGUCUAAGUAUAAACAACUUUAUACUGUAAAACUGCGAACGGCUCAUUAUAUCAGCAAUAAUUUAUUUGAUGGUUUCUUACCCCAUGGAUAACUGUGGUAAUUCUAGAGCUAAUACAUGCACUCGAGCCUCGACCGAGGCCCCGGCAACGGGGUCGCGGAAGAGGUGCUUUUAUUAGAUCAAAACCAGUCGGGGAAACGAUCGCCGGGUCAAACCGGUCGGUCGCGGAACCGUACCAAUUUUGGUGACUCUGGAUAACUUCACGCCGAUCGCACGGCCUUCGCGCCGGCGACGUAUCUUUCAAAUGUCUGCCUUAUCAACUGUCGAUGGUAGGUUACGCGCCUACCAUGGUUGCAACGGGUAACGGGGAAUCGGGGUUCGAUUCCGGAGAGGGAGCCUGAGAAACGGCUACCACAUCCAAGGAAGGCAGCAGG
rnacentral:rRNA from 1 species